rnacentral:misc_RNA from 1 species
AGUCUUUACCCUGACAUGAAGCUCACAAAUAUGGACAAGCGUGGUGUCACUUUUGCGUGCAUGAAUAGUACUGGUGAAAAUAAGGAUGGUCUUUCUACAUUUGCGCUGAAGUUCAAGGACGGCUCCAUAGCAGAAGAGUUCCGAGCAGCUGUUGCAGCACAUAAAGGUAAAACAGCUACAGAUCUGAAGACUCCAGAGAAUUCACCCAAGGCUUCUGAUUGAAUGGAACAUUGCAUUGAUUACACAGAAUUCUUGUCCCUGGGCUGCUGUCUCCUUUUGUGGAAAAAGAAGAAUCUUCUUUUGGAGUCAUUCUUGGAACUCUAUGUAGCAGAGUCUUAACAGAGUUUGGUUCUUUCUUUUCGUUUUUUUAACUUCAGUCUAGUCCUCGGGAGAAUGUUAUUACUCACAUUGGGUAAAUCCCAGAUUCGGAGUGC